AUUGAACGCUGGCGGCAUGCCUUACACAUGCAAGUCGAACGGCAGCACGGGUGCUUGCACCUGGUGGCGAGUGGCGAACGGGUGAGUAAUACAUCGGAACGUACCUUAUCGUGGGGGAUAACGCAGCGAAAGCUGUGCUAAUACCGCAUACGCCCUGAGGGGGAAAGCGGGGGAUCGAAAGACCUCGCGCGAUUAGAGCGGCCGAUGCCUGAUUAGCUUGUUGGUGGGGUAAAAGCCCACCAAGGCGACGAUCAGUAGCUGGUCUGAGAGGACGAUCAGCCACACUGGGACUGAGACACGGCCCAGACUCCUACGGGAGGCAGCAGUGGGGAAUUUUGGACAAUGGGGGCAACCCUGAUCCAGCAAUGCCGCGUGAGUGAAGAAGGCCUUCGGGUUGUAAAGCUCUUUUGUCAGGGAAGAAACACCGGCUCUAACACAGUCCGGGAAUGACGGUACCUGAAGAAUAAGCACCGGCUAACUACGUGCCAGCAGCCGCCGCCG
rnacentral:rRNA from 1 species